AACGAACGCUGGCGGCAUGCCUAACACAUGCAAGUCGAACGAGAUCUUCGGGUCUAGUGGCGCACGGACGCGUAAAGCGUGGGAAUCUGCCCUUUGGUUCGGAAUAACAGUUGGAAACGACUGCUAAUACCGGAUGAUGACGAAAGUCCAAAGAUUUAUCGCCAGAGGAUGAGCCCGCGUAGGAUUAGCUAGUUGGUGGGGUAAAGGCGCACCAAGGCGACGAUCCUGAGCCGGUUUGAGAGGAUGAUCAGCCACACUGGGACUGAGACACGGCCCAGACUCCUACGGGAGGCAGGAUUGGGGAAUAUUGGACUAUGGGCGAAAGCCUGAUCCAGCAAUGCCGCGUGAGUGAUGAAGGCCUUAGAGUUGUAAAGCUCUUUUACCCGGGAUGAUAAUGCCAGUACCGGGAGAAUAAGCUCCGGCUAACUCCGUGCCAGCCGCCCCGUAA
rnacentral:rRNA from 1 species